GUCACUGCCUCUCAUCGGGCUGGGAAGGUGGGGCAGAGGGGUUCCCCAGGGCUAGCAAGGCGAGGGGGCGGGGCGGCUUCCGACCCGACUCCGCGGCGAGGGCAGCCAUUGGACUCGGCUGGGGUGAAAAUGAGGGGAAAGGACUGGGCUCGAGUCUCUGGGGAGGCGGGAAGAGGAAGAAAACACACGCCUACUUUCCUGCUGCGUUAACGGCCUCACUGUGAACACGAGAACUCGGGAGCCUGCUCGCUGUUGUUUUUUGAGGUUUUUUUUUUUUUCUUUUUCUUUUUUCCCCCCCCGUUCUACCUUGCCGAAGCUUGGGCCUAACUUUAACAGGCACUUUUGUAACCUCCACAACCCAAAAAGCUUCGGAACUCAGAUCUUACAGAUUACUCCUCUGUUCUCCCCUUGCCCGGCCAUCCCCAUCAACCCAAACUAAUAAUCUUGCCUUUUGCUCACCGUCUUCCCCAGCCCACAGCGCGCCUUCUGGACCAGUUAAGGUGCGCAGCUUGCCAAACGGGUCUGGUCUGUACUUUUCAUGAAAUGUAAGCGGCUGGAUCCCUGGCAACUUUUAAUGCACAGCCUUUAAGAUGCUUUUUUCUUGAAGCCGAACUGUUGUUUCUUGUGCUGGAGAACUCUAGAGCUGAGAAUUAGCUGGUUUUUUGGAUUGUUUUAACUUUAUUUAAAGAGGGAGGAGGUGGGACGGGAUUACCCUCGGGAAAGGAAAAAAGCCAACUUUCCUUGUCGUGGUAAGCAUUAAAGCUAACCUGACUACUUAGUAACAUAUAGCUAAGUAGAGUAAAUCUAGGUGUUUGUUUUUAAUGACACUAUAGUAUUAAGGAAUUUAGAAGUCUCCUACAGGUAGCUUUUGUUUUUGUUUUGUCUGAGCAGUGAAUGGAUAGGUAAACACGUAACUUUCAAUUUUUUGAAGCUGCGGUGCAAUUCCUUUGUUAAAAACUACCUGGAGAAAGUGGUAAGGGUUAUUUAGGUAGGUUGCUACUUAGGAAGGACAUUCGUUGACAUACUUCUUAGGAAGCGUAAUAUUACGUAUUUGUCACACGCUCCGUGUAAAUCUCUUGGGCUGAUGCUAGGACUUAGUUUAUCCUUUUGCCUUCUCAAGUCUCAUAUAUCAAGCCAGCAAACAUCUAUUGAAGAUCUGGAGUUCUGUGGCCACAGUUUCUGAAUUCUAACUCGUGUGUGUGAUAAAGAAUUUUUCUGGCUUGACUGCAGUGGCAUGAUCAUAGCUCACCACAACCUCAAAUUCCUGGGCACAAGGGAUCCUCCUGACUCAUCCUCCCAAAUAGCUGGGACUACAGGUACACACCACUGUUGAUAAGGAAUAUUAAUUUUACAUUUCACCUGUAAAUUUAAGCAACAAAUAUACAAAGUUUUAAAAGUUAUGGAAUUAUUUCCGAGAUUAGCCGUGCUAGGGAAAGUAGUACAAAAUGGAGGCCAACAAUAUUAAAACUACUUGAUAAUCUGAAAUAUGUGAUGAUUUAAACAGCAAAUUAGUUUCAUUUAAGCUGAAAUUUACUACCCAGGUAACAUUCUCUGUUGAGGGGGAAAAAAUGUAAUAGGACAUGGAUCAUACUUAUCAGACUGCAGCACACUUGAAAAAGUUUUAAUAGAAACACAUACCAGCUUGAUUCAGAUGGGUUGUAUUGGGCCCCUGUUUACAAAUGUGUUUAGGCAAUCCUCAAUAUAGUUCUGAAGUUGUAGUCUAAUUUACGUUAACAAUAAAAAAAAUUAAAAAAAAGAGUUUUUUUAGCAUCCGUUUAAGAGGGCAAAGUCCUUAAAAUUAUCUGGAUUGUAUCACUAGUUAUGCGGGUACCUUCUUAAAUUUUUCAUAAAUAUGUUAAAGGUCUUUAAGAAGUAGAAAUGACCAAAAAUCUAGACUGAAUAGAAAGUGUUAUCUUUUUUUCUUAAAGAUGAGAUGUUACAGGAAAAAUUCUAGAAAAGCUAACAAUUUUUUUUUUCUUUUUCUGUGUUUUUGAAACAGAUAUUCUGAUAAUAUGGGCCCUCUUUUUCCUUAAAUUUCAAGUGAAAUGAGACAGGAACCAUAUAUCCAGGGAAAGGGCCAGAAACCUUUAUUUUAGUUUAACAGCUAUGGUGCCAAAACACAAGCUUCUGAAGUUCUAUGAGCUGAAGUACAAGCUUCUUGGCCUUUCAAGUGAAAUGUUGGUGCUAUGUGUGGGAAAAUUUGGCCGGCCAUGUCAAAAUGGAAAAGGAAUAUAAGUAUGAAAAAAUUUACGUGAUAAACAUGACCAUUUUACUACUAGUGCUUCCUUUAUUAGAAAUGUCUUCUGCAACUUAAAAAUAGCAAUAAAAGUCAAUAGAUACAAAAAUAUUGACCAUAGCAAACAUUUUAAAAGGUUUGGUUCGGGGAGGUGGAAAACAGGCAGCUUGCUUUCCCUACCAUCAUUUCUUCAACAUCCAGCUGUCAUUCAAUCAUGUGUAUGUACUAUCUGAAUUAGAGUAAACAUAAACUUUUCUAUCAAAGAGGACCCAAAACACUAUGGCUUAAAGAACACUGAAAUUUGCUUCUUUCUCACAAAGACUGUACCAGGAACCCAGGUUUUUUUCUCUUAUUGCUGUGCACUUUCUAACUUAUUAUCAUCCACUAUGGCGUUAUUCUCAGCUGCAUGGUUGAAGCUGGGUCAAGGAACUCCAUGAUCUACCUCAUGUGAAGGAAAAAGGAGCUUGUAGGAUCAUAUAUCUAAUGUCUUGAGGCUCAGGCUAAAAAUUACACAUUUCUGUUCAUAUUCCAGUCUGAGAAUGUCACGUGGCCACACCUACCUUCAAAUGAGGAUGAGAAAUGUCAUCUCUAACUGUGUCGUUAUGUACCUUGCUACAACUCUUCCUUAAGAACAGGGACAGGGUGGAGUUUGACGGACAAUUCACAGCAUCUACUUCAUAGGUAUUUGAGUCAUUGAUUUUUGCCAUUGGUAAAGCAUUCUACUUCUCAGGCUUUAAAAUGCGAGCUUCAGAGAAAAUGUAUUAUUUGUAUCAGUUAUAAAAAAAAAAAAAAGACAGCAAAUUCUUAGAAAACUCCCUCCUAGCUUGAACCUUCUUAGAACCCAGCCACCGUUCUGUAAGAAGUCAAAGCUUCAUGGAAAACCCAUAUAUAUAGGUGUUGUGGUCGAUGGUCCCAGCUGAGCCUAGCCUUCAAAUCAUCCCAGCCUAGUCACCAGACAGGAGAGUAAAGACCUAUUUUCUUCUUGGUAAGAGAUCUUCCAUUGUCAGCUCUUCCAGCCCCCAUCAGUUCAAGUUGCUUCCAGCUGUUAGAAGCAUCCUAUUUGAGGUCCUAGACAUCAUGGAAAGAGACAAUCUGCACUAUGCCCUUUACAAACUCCCAAAUCAUAGAAUUUGUAAGCAUAAUAAAACGGUCGGUUGGUUGGUUUGGUUGGGGGUUGGGGAGACAGAAUAAUAGAUAUACAUGGCAAUAAAUACAUGGCAAUAUUUAACUAGAACAUACAUUCCAUGUCAGAUAUUUAAAUAGGCCCUCUUCUCAAAUUUCCCAUGAUAGAAUUUUUUGAAAUAUUUAAGUUAUCUAAAGUGAGUGAUUAAAAACAGUUUAGCUUGGCCAGGAGGAGUGGCUUACACCUGUAAUACCAGCACUUUAGGAGGGCGAAGCAAGCAGAUCACCUUAAGUCAGGAGUUUGAGACCCGCCUGGCCAACAUGGUGAAACCCUGUCUCUACU